rnacentral:misc_RNA from 1 species
CUGUUCGAAAUAGUCAUAGGAUGCAGUUCGAGAUGGCUUCUGAGCUAGCUCAAACCUAUCCUAUGGACCACCCCCCACCCUUGCCUACUUGUACCUAUUGUUUCCUCGGCAGGUCCGCCUGCCAAUAGAGGAUCCCUACAAACCCUUUGCAGUACCUAGCGGUGGUCGGCAACAAAACAAACAAUAAAUUA